ACUGUCAUCUCGUCUGUCAUGAAAACAAAUGCCAUUUGUUUUUUGUUUGCUAGUUAGACAUCAUUCUAUUGUGUCCCGGAAGCAUUUUUUAUGGUCCCCGGGACGUCGGGACAUCGUUAAUUUCGAGCCCUGGUUGGGGGUUAGCCACCGGACAUCACAUUAUUGAACGCAAACAGGAAAACUACUGUGGACAUGAGUGUUGUCCAUCUGUGUGAAGGCAAAAUAUGGGGGACAUACCUGUCAACAUGCUUUUGUGCCCCUGUGCUUUCUCAGCUGCUGUCCCAGGCCAGCCAUGGAUGUUUUCACAGAAACAAGUCCCGCUUGUGUUGCGCACGUCCGCACGUGGCCCUUGCAGGAUCCCCGCCAUGGUUCCUGCAUGUGGACCGAGAAGGAAGAGAGGAUCUAAACACUCACAAAGCCUCCCUGUUCUUUUAGCCAAUCAGCAUGUUCUCUUUACUUGAUUGGAUAACAGGACACCCUAGGCAGCCGAAGGCACUUCAUUUGUUUAAAGAAGCCAUA